GGCUUUAGGGUACUGGAGAGGGGGCAGGGAAUGAGGGAGGAGGGCGUUAAAGUGGGGUCUUCCGGCGCAGAGAAAUGACAUCGAGCUCGCUGGGCGUCUCUCCUUGAAGACCGGGCGGCCGAGUGUAAGAACGACUACGUGAUGACGAAAAAGGCGUCCCCUUGUUAUCUCUCGGGCCCUUGCUGGGAGAGGCGGUACCAAGGCGGAUACCACAGCCACACGCCUGCCGCUGAUUGGCUCCCUCCAAGAGCACUCACUGGGGACGCAUGGGCGGGGCAGGGAGGCGCCGGAGGGCCGCGCUGGAAUCAGCUUUCUGGUGUAAAGCUCAGCCCUCGAUGAGUUUGUCUUCCAUUGUCGCUGAAUGAUUGCGUCAUCGGAAGGCGGAAACUUAACGAUUGCAACCCUUUUCGAUUUCUUAAGUGCCUGCCAUAACAUGACAUCAUAGUCCUGUGGAGGUGGAAGUCGAGGUUGAGGGGCUUCGAGGUAACCAGAUCCUGGAUCUGAGCCCAAACUUCCUAACACCAUUGUGUUCGGAGGCGAGUGUCCUGGGAGCGGGAGUAGAGGCCGUGGGGAGAGAGGUAGGGUGCCUGCCUGGCCGCGGUUCUGUUGGAGGUGUUGGCACCUGGAUAUUUCAAACCCAGAGUCUGGCUAUCGGGAGUCCCACGUAGUCCUGACUCGGAGCCACACGUCUCAGUAGCUUCUUUUACAUGGGCAUUGUUUUCACCUCUCAGAACUACAUGGACCCCAGAGGGACCAAGAGAGGAGCUGGGAACCUAGAAGUAGCUGAGCCUCGGAACAAACUCCCCCGCCCAGCACCCUCACUGCCCACAGACCCUGCCCUCUACUCUGGGCCCUUUCCUUUCUACCGGCGUCCUUCUGAACUGGGCUGCUUCUCCCUGGAUGCCCAACGCCAGUACCACGGAGAUGCCCGAGCCCUGCGCUACUACAGCCCACCCCCUACCAAUGGUCCAGGCCCCAACUUUGACCUUAGAGACGGGUACCCUGAUCGAUAUCAGCCCCGGGACGAGGAGAUUCGAGAGGGGCUGGACCACCUGCUACGCUGGCUUCUGGAGCACCAAGGCCAGCUGGAGGGGGGUCCAGGCUGGCUAGCAGGAGCCAUAGUGACGUGGCGGGGACACCUGACAAAACUACUGACUACACCAUAUGAGCGGCAGGAGGGCUGGCAGUUUGCAGCCUCCCGGUUCCAGGGAACACUGUACCUGAGUGAGGUGGAGACGCCAGCUGCCCGGGCUCAGAGGCUUGCUCGGCCGCCCCUCCUCCGGGAGCUUAUGUACAUGGGGUACAAGUUUGAGCAGUACAUGUGUGCAGACAAGCCUGGAGGCUCCCCAGACCCCUCUGGGGAGGUCAACACCAACGUGGCCUUCUGCUCUGUGCUACGCAGCCGCCUGGGGAACCACCCUCUGCUCUUCUCAGGAGAAGUAGACUGCACAGACCCCCAGGCACCAUCUACACAGCCCCCUGCCUGCUAUGUGGAGCUCAAGACCUCCAAGGAGAUGCACAGCCCCAGCCAGUGGAGGAGCUUCUACAGACACAAGCUCCUGAAAUGGUGGGCUCAGUCAUUUCUGCCUGGGGUCCCAAAGGUAGUCGCCGGCUUCCGUAACCCAGAGGGUUUCGUCUGUUCCCUCAAGACCUUUCCCACUAUGGAGAUGUUUGAAAAUGUCAGGUCUUCUGGCUCCUCCCCUGCCCUCUCCAGAAUGACCGUGACGGCUGGAACCCCUCUGUGUGCAUGAACUUCUGUGCCGCCUUCCUUAGCUUUGCCCAGAACACAGUUGUCCAGGAUGACCCCAGGCUUAUCCACCUCUUCUCCUGGGAGCCCAGCGGCCCAGUCACCGUGUCUGUACAUCGAGAUGCACCCUAUGCCUUCCUGCCCAUGUGGUAUGUGGAAGCCAUGAGCCAGGACCUUCCAUCACCCCCCAAGACUCCCUCCCCGCGGGACUGAUACUUCAGAGGGGCUGGUCUCAUCCGCGUGCACAGAUAAUAAAGGCAUAUUUCUAA